UCCCCAGUGGCGCAAUUGGUUAGCGCACGGUACUAUACAUGCCGGGGUUGUGAGUUCGAGCCUCACCUGGGGAA
rnacentral:tRNA from 1 species